rnacentral:rRNA from 1 species
GACGAACGCUGGCGGCGUGCUUAACACAUGCAAGUCGAACGGAAAGGCCCGCAUCAUUUUUUUGGUGGGGGUGCUCGAGUGGCGAACGGGUGAGUAACACGUGGGUGAUCUGCCCUGUACUUCGGGAUAAGCUUGGGAAACUGGGUCUAAUACCGGAUAGGACCAUGGUUUAGUGUCUCAUGGUGGAAAGAUUAUUGUUUUGGUGCAGGAUGAGCUCGCGGCCUAUCAGCUUGUUGGUGGGGUAAUGGCCUACCAAGGCGUCUACGGGUAGCCGGCCUGAGAGGGUGGACGGCCACAUUGGGACUGAGAUACCGACCAGACUCCUACGGGAGGCACCUGUGGGGAAUAUUGCACAAUGGGCGCAAGCCAGAUGCAGCGACGCCGCAUGGGGGAUGACGGCCUUCGGGUUGUAACCUCCUUUCGUUAGGGACAAAACCGCACCUUUUUUUGGGUGUGGUGACCGUACCUUUAGUAAGAACCACGGCUAACUACCUGCCCGCAUCCCCGGUAAUACCUAGGGUGCGCAGCGUUGUCCAGAAUUACUGGGCGUAAAGAGCUCCUAUGGUGGUUUGUUGCGUCGUCUGUGAAAUUCCGGGGCUUAACUUCGGGGUGGCAGGCGAUACGGGCAUAACUAGAGUGCUGUAGGGGAGACUGGAAUUCCUGGUGUAGCGGUGGAAUGCGCAGAUAUCAGGAGGAACACCGAUGGCGAAGGCAGGUCUCUGGGCAGUAACUGACGCUGAGGAGCGAAAGCAUGGGGAGCGAACAGGAUUAGAUACCCUGGUAGUCCAUGCUGUAAACGGUGGGCGUUAGGUGUGGGGACCGGUUUGGUUUCUGUGCCGUAGCUAACGCAUUAAGCGCCCCGCCUGGGGAGUACGGCCGCAAGGCUAAAACUCAAAGGAAUUGACGGGGGCCCGCACAAGCGGCGGAGCAUGUGGAUUAAUUCGAUGCAACGCGAAGAACCUUACCUGGGUUUGACAUGCACCAGACGGUUGUAGAGAUACGUACCUCCCUUUGUGGUUGGUGUGCAGGUGGUGCAUGGUUGUCGUCAGCUCGUGUCGUGAGAUGUUGGGUUAAGUCCCGCAACGAGCGCAACCCUUGUCUUAUGUUGCCAGCACUUUGGGUGGGGACUCAUGAGAGACUGCCGGGGUUAACUCGGAGGAAGGUGGGGAUGACGUCAAAUCAUCAUGCCCUUUAUGCCCAGGGCUUCACACAUGCUACAAUGGUUAGUACAACGCGCUGCGAGCCUGUGAGGGUGUGCGAAUCGCUGAAAGCUAAUCUCAGUUCGGAUUGGGGUCUGCAACUCGACCCCAUGAAGUCGGAGUCGCUAGUAAUCGCAGAUCAGCAAUGCUGCGGUGAAUACGUUCCCGGGCCU